AUGCACUCUGGUCCUGCCCUGGUGAACAAAUGGCUGUGUGACCUUGGCUGGGGCAUCCUGCUGUCCAUCAACCCUGCUCUCAUCUGCCCACCUCCCCUGAGUUACCCACCAAGGAUCACGAAGAAUCUCUCUGAGGUGGGUCCUCUUCUCCUUGCCACCCUGGUUUCCCUGGCACUUCAGCAAUAUUCCUGGGUCCAGCUGGAUGUGUCUAUAUCAGGUGCCUCCCCAAACCUGCCUGAAACCUGGAGGCUAGCAAGACCCUGGAACACACUCUCAGCAGUGGAGUUGGAUGGUCAGGAUUGCUCUUCAUGGGCUCAGCUUGAUUCUUGGCCAGCUGGCCUGCCUGCUGCCCCUCACCUUCUAUCCAGAGGGAAAUUCCUCACCCGCUGGACCACACCCGCUCUUGAGGACCUCCCGAGCUCUCUGGGCAGAGCGGAAGCCAGACAGAGACCGGACUCCAAGGCGACAAUCCCAGCCCUGUGUGUGCCAGGAGCCCCCAGAGGCAGGGGCCCAUGCUGCAGGAGGCCUCGAAGUCAAGCUAGGGGCCGCUCUGAUGGGAAAUUCUAGGUUCCAAAGCCCAUGGUUUCCCCCGCCAUCCCUGGUCUCUGUGUCGCUACAAAUUUGAGGAGCAAGAGGUACGUUGUGUCUAAAGGCAGGUCGCCCAGGCUGCGGGUGUUGGGGUCCUGGGGCAGCCGGUGGUUACAGCCAGGCACUAUAGAUUGCAUGCAGUGCCCGGCUUGUGGGGGAGGGGUUCUCACAGAUGCUGGCUUGUUAAUUCAUUAAACUGCCUGUCUGGACUAUACAUUUUUUUCUGUAUAUGUGUUUUUUA
rnacentral:lncRNA from 1 species